CAUGGCUACGAUCUGCUGUUUGUUGCCAUAUGGUGAAUUGGCCCUCAUCAGCUUCCGUAGAUUUGACUUCGACUUUUAUCAAGAUAUUGUAUUUUCAGUUUUCAAUUUUCUGAAUUUAGACUUUAAUCUCAUUUUUUGACUUUGCUCACCACAUUUUGACUUUAUUCUUGAUUUGCCCAAAAUUAAUUUCUCUAUCAAAAUUGGCCCUAAUAAGCUUCCGUAGAUUAGUAAUGCUUACAAAGAAGAAAAAAUGAUGUAUAUUGACCAUAGUUUUUAUCGAACCAGCUUUUGCAAGAAGCGAAACAACCAGAAGAGGAAGAAAGCGGUGCAGGUAACGAAGAGCAGGAAAAGGAGAAAUCGGCUGAAAAAGAGGAAUCUAAAGGUGAGAAUCCACUGGAAAAAUACAUGAAGAUGGUCCUCGAAGCCAGAGAGAAGCAGAGUGUAGAGGGCUCUGAGAAAGAUGAAGCAGGACACUCGAGCCCCGACAUUAACAGUCUGUCUGAGGACAAAGAUGACAGCAUUGCUGCCGUUUCCAUAAAAGAAGACGACGACGACUUUUGGUGAUUUUUGACUUUUACCACGAACUGAAUCACAAAAGCAUCAUUUUGUAUGUUUCUGAUGUGUACAUUGGAAUAUUUUCACAAAAUAAAGAUUUUAUACCAAG
rnacentral:lncRNA from 1 species